rnacentral:SRP_RNA from 1 species
GCCGGGUGCAGUGGCACGAGCCUGUAGUCCCAGUUAUUCGGGAGGCUGAGGCUGGAGGAACUCUUGAGCUCAGGAGUUCUGGGCUGUAGUGCGAUAUGCCGAUCUGGUGUCCGCACUAAGUUUGGCAUCAAUAUGGUGACCUCCUGGGAGCAGGGGACCACCAGAUUGCCUAAGGAGGGGUGAACCGGCCCAGGUUGGAAAUGGAGCAGAUCAAAACUCCCGUGCUGAUCAGUAAUGGGAUCACACCUGUGAAUAGCCACUGCACUCCGGCCUGGGCAACAUAGCGAGACUCCGUCUCU